rnacentral:rRNA from 1 species
GAUGAACGCUAGCUACAGGCUUAACACAUGCAAGUCGCGGGGCAGCAUGGGGGUUGCUUGCAAUCCCCGAUGGCGACCGGCGCACGGGUGGGUAACGCGUAUCCAACCUGCCCUUCACCACGGGAUAACCCGGCGAAAGUCGGACUAAUACCGUAUGUUGUCCAUUGACGGCAUCCGAUUUGGACGAAAGGUUUGGCGGUGAAGGAUGGGGAUGCGUCCGAUUAGCUGGACGGCGGGGUGACGGCCCACCGUGGCGACGAUCGGUAGGGGUUCUGAGAGGAAGGUCCCCCACACUGGAACUGAGACACGGCCCAGACUCCUACGGGAGGCAGCAGUGAGGAAUAUUGGUCAAUGGGCGUAAGCCUGAACCAGCCAAGUAGCGUGCAGGAUGACGGCCCUAUGGGUUGUAAACUGCUUUUAUGCGGGGAUAAAGUGGCCCACGUGUGGGUUUUUGCAGGUACCGCAUGAAUAAGGACCGGCUAAUUCCGUG